rnacentral:rRNA from 1 species
CCUACGGGUGGCAGCAGUGAGGAAUAUUGGUCAAUGGGCUUACGCCUGAACCAGCCAAGUCGCGUGAGGGAAGACUGCCCUAUGGGUUGUAAACCUCUUUUGUCAGGGAGCAAUUUGCGCUACGUGUAGCGUUAUCUAUAGUACCUGCAGAAAAAGCAUCGGCUAACUCCGUGCCAGCAGCCGCGGUAAUACGGAGGAUGCGAGCGUUAUCCGGAUUUAUUGGGUUUAAGGGGUGCGUAGGCGGACUGCCAAGUCAGCGGUAAAAUCGCGGGGCUCAACCUCGCUCCGCCGUUGAAACUGGCGGUCUGGAGGGGGCGAGAAGGAGGCGGAAUGCGUGGUGUAGCGGUGAAAUGCAUAGAUAUCACGCAGAACUCCGAUUGCGAAGGCAGCAUACCGGAGCCCAACUGACGCUGAGGCACGAAAGCGUGGGUAUCGAACAGGAUUUGAUACCCGAGUAGUC